rnacentral:rRNA from 1 species
CGGGAAUAUUGCACAAUGGAGGAAACUCUGAUGCAGUGACGCCGCGUGCAGGAAGAAGGUUUUCGGAUUGUAAACUGCUUUAGACAGGGAAGAAACAAGACAGUACCUGUAGAAUAAGCCCCGGCUAACUACGUGCCAGCAGCCGCGGUAAUACGUAGGGAGCAAGCGUUAUCCGGAUUUAUUGGGUGUAAAGGGUGCGUAGACGGGAAUUUAAGUUAGUUGUGAAAUCCCUCGGCUUAACUGAGGAACUGCAACUAAAACUGAAUUUCUUGAGUGCGGGAGAGGAAAGUGGAAUUCCUAGUGUAGCGGUGAAAUGCGUAGAUAUUAGGAGGAACACCAGUGGCGAAGGCGACUUUCUGGACCGUAACUGACGUUGAGGCACGAAAGUGUGGGGAGCAAACAGG